CAGGCUUAACACAUGCAAGUCGAGGGGCAGCACGGGUAGCAAUACUUGGUGGCGACCGGCGCAAGGGUGCGUAACGCGUGAGCAACAUGCCCGUAUCAGGGGGAUAAUCCAGGGAAGCUUGGUCUAAUACCCCAUAGUAAUAUUUUCAGGCAUCUGGGGAUAUUUAAAGCUCCGGCGGUUACGGAUUGGCUCGCGUGACAUUAGCUAGAUGGUAAGGUAACGGCUUACCAUGGCUACGAUGUCUAGGGGUUCUGAGAGGAAUAUCCCCCACACUGGAACUGAGACACGGUCCAGACUCCUACGGGAGGCAGCAGUGAGGAAUAUUGGACAAUGGAUGGAAAUCUGAUCCAGCCAUGCCGCGUGCAGGAAGACGGCCCUAUGGGUUGUAAACUGCUUUUAUACGGGAGCAAUAAGGUCUACGAGUAGGCCGAUGAGAGUACCGUAGGAAUAAGCAUCGGCUAACUCCGUGCCAGCAGCCGCGGUAAUACGGAGGAUGCGAGCGUUAUCCGGAUUUAUUGGGUUUAAAGGGUGCGUAGGCUGUUAUAUAAGUCAGUGGUAAAUAUUCGGGCUCAACCGGGAUACUGCCAUUGAUACUGUAUAGCUGGAAUAUGGUUGCUGUGAGUGGAAUGUGUGGUGUAGCGGUGAAAUGCAUAGAGAUCACACAGAAUAUCGAUUGCGAAGGCAACUCACAAAGCCAUUAUUGACGCUGAUGCACGAAAGUGUGGGGAUCAAACAGGAUUAGAUACCCUGGUAGUCCACACUGUAAACGAUGAUAACUAGCUGUCGGCGAUACACAGUCGGUGGCCAAGCGAAAGCGAUAAGUUAUCCACCUGGGGAGUACGACCGCAAGGUUGAAACUCAAAGGAAUUGACGGGGGCCCGCACAAGCGGAGGAACAUGUGGUUUAAUUCGACGCAACGCGAAGAACCUUACCAGGGCUUGACAUCCCGUGACAGCCAUGGAACUUCUUAGUUUACUAAGACACAGAGACAGGUGGUGCAUGGUUGUCGUCAGCUCGUGUCGUGAGAUGUUGGGUUAAGUCCCGCAACGAGCGCAACCCCUACAGCCAGUUGCCAGCACAUAAAGGUGGGAACGGGGACUCUGGUGAGACUGCCGGGGACAACUCGGAGGAAGGUGGGGAUGACGUCAAAUCAUCAUGCCCCUUAUGUCUUGGGCUACACACGUGCUACAAUGGCCGGUACAAAGGGCUGCGAAACCGUAAGGUGAAGCGAAUCCCAUAAAGCCGGUCUCAGUUCGGAUCGUGGGCUGCAACCCGCCCACGUGAAGCCGGAGUUGCUAGUAAUCGCGAAUCAGCAUGUC
rnacentral:rRNA from 1 species